rnacentral:rRNA from 1 species
AGAGUGAACGCUGGCGGUAGGCCUAACACAUGCAAGUCGAACGGCAGCACAGUGGUAGCAAUACCAUGGGUGGCGAGUGGCGGACGGGUGAGGAAUACAUCGGAGUCUACCUUUUCGUGGGGGAUAACGUAGGGAAACUUACGCUAAUACCGCAUACGCCCUUCGGGGGAAAGCCGGGGAUCGCAAGACCUGGCGCGGAUAGAUGAGCCGAUGUCGGAUUAGCUAGUUGGUGAGGUAAUGGCUCACCAAGGCGACGAUCCGUAGCUGGUCUGAGAGGAUGAUCAGCCACACUGGAACUGAGACACGGUCCAGACUCCGUACGGGAGCAGCGAGGUGGGAAUAUUAGGACAAGU